GAUCGAAUGUCACAUCUUUACUAUAUAACAGGAGUUCUAUACAAAAUAAAUAAUUACAUUAUAAGGAGACAACGGUCCAGCAACCCAAAGUUGACUGGGAGACGAUGGCCUAGACCUCUCACGAACUCGUCACAGCAUCCUCCAUGCGCCUCAUCCUGUGGUACCUGUUCUUGACCUGUGGGGGGGUGUGAGACAGCAAGAGUGAGCUCACAUACGUUCAUAGAUCAACAAGUUGUGGGGAAUAAUGUGCAUGAACUCGCCAAAGGCGGGAGCUCUCAUGAAGUGUAAGACUUACCAAAGAGGAUGGUUAGAGCUGAGCAUUGCUUUUAAAGUUGGUCAAAAUUUUAUUAGCAGUUACUAAGUAUAAGUAAAUACCAACCCAGUUAAAUAGUAGAACAAAAGUAACAACAUCACCUGCGAUGCAAUGCAUAUGACAAAUUGAAUUUAGUUCCAUAAUUUAAUCAUGUGAGUGUUCGAGCUGCUCAUGACCGUGAGCACGGCUAGUAUACCAGUUUUAUACUCUGUAGAGGUUGCGCAUCUUUACCCACAAGUCAUGUUACCCAUCUGCCAAGAGACGGCCAAUCCCAUACACCUCUACCGAGGAGGCGAGGCAGGGUAACACUACGAGGCCUUUACAAAGUUCCACUAGCUUCAGAAAACCCGCUACAGUUUAUAGGAAGCUCCAAUGCAGGAAUCCCUCGCAUGACCACCAUCGCAGCAAAAUCAUCCCAAGGGCCUCCCUACACUUACCACUCCCCUACUGCCCUUGCCCCUUUCGGGUAAGGUAGUCAUCCACUAGCUUUCCUAAUUAAUCAGCCAAGGGCGUCCCAUUAAACCCUUGUGGUAGCACUGUUUUCCCGGGUGGUUCUCCAUGUUCCAAUUAACAUAAUGAUCUUAUCAUGAACAGUAAAUAACAACUUAUAACAAAAGUGUAAUCAUGAAUAAUGUAUCUCCAUACCUAGAACCACAUAUAGCACUAGCAAGUACUACCCAGAAAGUUCAGUGGUAAACAAGGUAUAAAGAUAGACAAACUAGGGUAUCCUAUUGGGUCCCAUCAAAAUUAACCUAUGCAGAUCAUUAUGAUUAAUUAGAACAUGAGUGGGUAAAAAGAAGUGAUCAAGGGCACAACUUGCCUGGGACUUGAGAUUCCAGGUACCAGGAUGAUUCUUCAGAUCCUCGUGACCUCACUGCUAAUCGUAGCAAUACAAACAAACAUGGUAUAGGCAAAAUAAACAUCACACCAAACAUAAGAACAAACUACGUAAUAAUACUCUACGCGUCUCUACGAGAUCGUGGGAUGAGAACCGCUAAAUUCGGGGUUACGGUUGUGAAGUUAUGGUUUUCCGAAGAUCCAUGUGGUUAAGUAUAGAAUAGACUAAGUGCAACAUUUUAACCUAUAUUUCAUGACAAAACAAAGUUACCAGAUGAUAAUAAAUAUUAUUAUGAGACUAAUGCAACUAGAAUGGAUCAAAACGGAGUUACAGUUAUUGAGUUAUGAAUUUCCAAAGUUAAUAAGUACUUGGCACGAAAUAAAUUAAGUAAACAAUUUUAAUCUAUGUUUCAUGUCUAAAUAGAGUCACUAGGUGAUAAACAAUAUUAAAACAAAAUUAAUACAACUUGAAUGAAUCAAAAAGGAGUUAAAAUAAAUUUUCUAUGAAUUAAACAAGAUCCUAGAAUUAUUUUUAUACUAAAAAAUCAUUUUCUUUAUUAGUUUUACCAAUUAUAUUAACCUUUGGACCGCGGCCACUAAUACCAGAGAGCGCAGGGUGUUUCUUAUAAAAUUUGGGGCUAAACCGCGAGACUCUUCCUAUAGCCCCAGACGGCGGGUUAAUUGUGGCAAAGAGCAGGGGCACUUUUGUAAGACUUCCCGGUCGAAGGGGUAUCCCGCACUCAGAGCCGCCCGAUCCAGAUCCGGCGGCCCAGAUUAGAUCGUGCUUUAAAUGAAACGGUAUGCAAUACGAGCCCUUGGAUCCGAGAUCAGCGGUCGUGGUUUAAUGAAACGAGAUCGAAUCUGGGUCACGGGAUCCUGAUUGAACGACCCAAGAUGAUCCCACCGAAGGGGUCUACUACUUCUAAUCUAACCCGUUCGUCCAAGAUCCUUCGGUAGACACCCCCCCAAUCCCAGCUGCUCAGUGCACAUCCAACGAUAGAGCCACGCCCUCCCCAACCAGAGCCGAGACGCGGCGGCGGCGUUCUGUCCCUCUAGCGGAGAAGUGCCUCCACGGCGGAGCUGUCGCCGGAGAAGGCGAUGUUGCGCCCCCGUAACCCAAACCUCGACAAAAACAUGUUAUGCAAAAGAGGAGUUCACAAGGAACAGAAUGAAGGGCUCCCUACCCAAAGCCGAUGCAUGGAGAUCCAUGGCCGCGGAAGUAGCAGCGGGCGGCGGAGGAAACAAUCCGAUGAAAAAUAUCCAGGCUCCGGUGGAUUUCCCCGCGUCCGAGAAGGCCACGAGCAUGCCUCUGGGUCCCGGCGCGGCACCCAGAAGCUUCUACCAGAGCAGGACGCGGCCCGCGACAGCGCUAAUGGCGUUGAUGAAGAAUCCCUUUUACUCUAGUGUCCCAGAUUGCCUCCGUGAAGCCCGGUGAUGCUUAACGGUGACGCGUCAACGGCCGAGCGAUGGCGUGUCGUCGUAAAGCCUAGUGUGUCGAGCUUGGAUUCUCUGCUCUUCCACACUCGUCUUCCUUGUUUCUCUGUCCGAGCAUUGGGGAUGUCGACGAAGACGCUGGCCCAUGAUGACCAGUGGAUUCAUGGCGCCGAAGGGACCUUGGUGAGCAAUCCACCCGCCCGAGAUGAUCCUCUAGACUGGACUAAGCCAUGUGCACAUCCGCCAUGUUUGGGCGAGUCACCACGGCUGCUUCACAGAGGCUCGUCGACAACCAAGGCGCGGGUCGACGCCGGCUACUUCACUCUCUGCCUUCUUUUGCUUGGCGGUAGGGCUCUCGGUGCUUGUUAGUGGGUUGGACGAAGAGGGGGAGGCGAGCUCGGUACUUAUAGCUUGGGAAAAUUCCGAAUCCCAACCACCCAGUCAAUCCCGGCGGCGACGGAAACGUAGCUCCGCGAAGAGGAUAAGCCUGACAUGUGGGGCCCGCAGAGCAGCUACCUGACACGCGCGCAUUAUGGUGCUGAGACGCUGACGAGAAGGGCCCGCCAUGCUUCCACUGCGCGCGCGGACACCAGUUGAAGCCACCGCCAUGUGGGUCCCGCAGGCAGAGGCAGGACGCGGUGGGCUGGCGAGAAAUAAAAGAGGGAGAUGGGUCGAGAGUGGAAGAGAGUUGGGCUGUGAUAGGGGGAAAUCGGCCCAAGGCUGCUCAGUGAGCUUUUCUUUUUUUCCCUUUUUUUGUUUUAUUUUCUAUUUUAUUUCCUGUUUUCUAUUGCAAUUCAAAUCCAGGUUUAAAUUUCAAAUUUUUAAAUUAUAUGCACAAACAAACUCCAACAUGAUGCAGGUAUAAUUUAUAUUAAUUUUAUUCAUUUAUUCAUGCAAAGAAAAAAUGAUCCAAUUAUGCAACCCACACAAUAAUUUUCCCAUAAGUUAUUAUAUUUUUUAAGGAGUGCAUUUGUAUGUAGUUCAUAAAGAGAAUAUAUAAAAUUCUUCCUUGUGUUUAUGGUUCCAAGCUUUUAGUUUUUUUUAGAAUAACAUUUAAAAAUUGAGGAUUCUUAUAUUAAAAUACAUUUUAACCCUAAACCUUAUAAAGAAAUAUUUAUAAAUCUUAGAAUAGGAUUUUGGUCAUUACAAAUCCUACCCCACUUAACAGAAAUCUCGUCCUCGAGAUUUGUAAGGACAGGGAUGUAAAAAGCUUUAUUUAUAGUUUAGCCUUUAACUUAUAAUUAGUUUAGGAAUUAAGAAGUUUCAUGUUAUUUAGAUAGUGGUUAUGAAAGCAUGGGUAUGUAUAUCCACUCUAUUGUGUAUGGUAAAAGAUGUCUUUAAAGCAUAGAGAGGUUUGGUUAAGAAAGGGUAGGGUGAGGAAAGACUCUAUCCAAGAUUAUGGAUCUUGAUUCCUUUUGAAGAUCUGGCUUGAAUCUUUUCCUUCCUCGAUUUGAUGAAGUCGAUCAUCUUCGAUCUUCGUUCUUGAAGUCUUUAUCCGAAUUAGGGACAUGUAGUUAGGAUAACUUGUAGGUAAGGACAGAUGGUUAACAGGUUGGUGGCAUAAGAUAAGUGUAUUAUGGCAACAUCUAGGAUGGGAUGGAUGGUCACCAUGAGUAUGCUGGUAGGUUAUUUGUUCAUGGGUGGUUUGGUCUGAUGUACUAAUUUAAGUUAAAACAUGGCCAGAGGGUCUAAUCUAUUUCACUAGUAUUAACUAUUCCUGUUAAGUGACUUCCAAUAGGCUUGAUCAUAAUAAAUUAGGUAGGAUUGGGUAUGACUAGAAUAGACUAGAUAAGAUCUUAUUAAUUAGAUCAUGGUUGCUACAAUAGUGUGGAAUAAAUAUGCUUAUUAGGGCAAGAUUAAUCCAUAAGGAUAAGGUAGAAUCUUUUGAGGUCAGUUAGAUCUAUUAGGGUGACAUAAGAUCUUUUCAAGAUAAGUUGAGUAUCUUUUAAGAUAAGAUGAAUCUAUAAGGAUAGAAUCUUUUAAGAUGAGAUGGAUAUUGUUAGGCUAGAUACUUUAUUGAGGGAUAAUCUAGUUUAUUUUUUUAAUAGUAUUUUUUUAUUCCUAUAUGUAGAUGUAAUUGUGGAUAUUACUCCACAACCCAUCACACUCAAUCAAAAAUCCAAAUCAUACAAGUAUCAUAAGAACAAACAUUCAGGUUCGUAAAUAUCUAUAUAAAAAAUUAAGUUUGUUUUUGUUCCUAAGAGUAGGUCUCCUAUUCCUAAAGGUCACUUUAGGCACAGGAUUUCAAAGUGUAAAAUCCACAUUUGUCUUUAGAAAAGAAAAGGUAAGAAUAACCAGAGUAAAGCGGAAAUAGAUGAGAAAAGAUUAAGAAAAGUUUAGAAAGAAUCAGAGUGGCAAAGGUAAGUAAGAAUUGGUUGUCCAGUUCUAUCUAGGUUUCGUCCUACAGUCAACAUCGCUCUGAUACCACUUCUGUCACACCCGGGUUUCGAGGCACCAAGACCCGGGCGCGAACAUAAUCACCAGGUGUGCUGGGACCAAGUCUCACACAUAUAAUGAAUCAUGGCACAGGAUCGAAUGUCACAUCUUUACUAUAUAACAGGAGUUCUAUACAAAAUAAAUAAUUACAUUAUAAGGAGACAACGGUCCAGCAACCCAAAGUUGACUGGGAGACGACGACCUAGACCUCUCACGAACUCGUCACAGCAUCCUCCAUGCGCCUCAUCCUGUGGUACCUGUUCUUGACCUGUGGGGGUGUGAGACAGCAAGAGUGAGCUCACAUACGUUCAUAGCUGAACAAGUUGUGGGGAAUAAUGUGCAUGAACUCGCCAAAGGCGGGAGCUCUCAUGAAGUGUAAGGCUUACCAAAGAGGAUGGUUAGAGCUGAGCAUUGCUUUUAAAGUUGGUCAAAAUUUUAUUAGCAGUUACUAAGUAUAAGUAAAUACCAACCCCGUUAAAUAGUAGAACAAAAGUAACAACAUCACCUGCGAUGCAAUGCAUAUGACAAAUUGAAUUUAGUUCCAUAAUUUAAUCAUGUGAGUGUCCGAGCUGCUCAUGACCGUGAGCACGCCUAGUAUACCAGUUUUACACUCUGCAGAGGUUGUGCAUCUUUACCCACAAGUCAUGUUACCCAUCUGCCAAGAGACGGCCAAUCCCAUACACCUCUACCGAGGAGGCGAGGCAGGGUAACACUACGAGGCCUUUACAAAGUUCCACUAGCUUCAGAAAACCCGCUACAGUUUAUAGGAAGCUCCAAUGCAGGAAUCCCUCGCAUGACC
rnacentral:lncRNA from 1 species